rnacentral:rRNA from 1 species
CCUACGGGAGGCAGCAGUGAGGAAUAUUGGUCAAUGGACGAGCGUCUGAACCAGCCAAGUAGCGUGAAGGAUGACUGCCCUAUGGGUUGUAAACUUCUUUUAUAUGGGAAUAAAAUGGUGCAUGCGUGCGCUUUUGUAUGUACCAUAUGAAUAAGGAUCGGCUAACUCCGUGCCAGCAGCCGCGGUAAUACGGAGGAUCCGAGCGUUAUCCGGAUUUAUUGGGUUUAAAGGGAGCGUAGGUGGAUUGUUAAGUCAGUUGUGAAAGUUUGCGGCUCAACCGUAAAAUUGCAGUUGAAACUGGCAGUCUUGAGUACAGUAGAGGUGGGCGGAAUUCGUGGUGUAGCGGUGAAAUGCUUAGAUAUCACGAAGAACUCCGAUUGCGAAGGCAGCUCACUGGACUGCAACUGACACUGAGGCUCGAAAGUGUGGGUAUCAAACAGGAUUAGAUACCCCAGUAGUC